GACGAACGCUGGCGGCGUGCCUAACACAUGCAAGUCGAGCGGGGUCCAUCCAGUGGCAACACUGGGGAAGACCUAGCGGCGAACGGGUGAGUAACACGUGAGAAACCUGCCCUGAACUCUGAGAUAACCCGAGGAAACUCGAGCUAAUACCGGAUGCCCCCACCGGGUCGCAUGGCCUGGUGAGGAAAGAUUUAUCGGUU
rnacentral:rRNA from 1 species